rnacentral:rRNA from 1 species
GUGGGGAAUAUUGGACAAUGGGGGGAACCCUGAUCCAGCCAUGCCGCGUGUGUGAAGAAGGCCUUUUGGUUGUAAAGCACUUUAAGCGAGGAGGAGGCUACCGAGAUUAAUACUCUUGGAUAGUGGACGUUACUCGCAGAAUAAGCACCGGCUAACUCUGUGCCAGCAGCCGCGGUAAUACAGAGGGUGCAAGCGUUAAUCGGAUUUACUGGGCGUAAAGCGCGCGUAGGUGGCCAAUUAAGUCAAAUGUGAAAUCCCCGAGCUUAACUUGGGAAUUGCAUUCGGUACUGGUUGGCUAGAGUAUGGGAGAGGAUGGUAGAAUUCCAGGUGUAGCGGUGAAAUGCGUAGAGAUCUGGAGGAAUACCGAUGGCGAAGGCAGCCAUCUGGCCUAAUACUGACACUGAGGUGCGAAAGCAUGGGGAGCAAACAGGAUUAGAUACCCUUGUAGUCC